rnacentral:rRNA from 1 species
GACGAACGCUGGCGGCGUGCUUAACACAUGCAAGUCGAACGGAAAGGCCCUGCUUUUGUGGGGUGCUCGAGUGGCGAACGGGUGAGUAACACGUGAGUAACCUGCCCUUGACUUUGGGAUAACUUCAGGAAACUGGGGCUAAUACCGGAUAGGAGCUCCUGCUGCAUGGUGGGGGUUGGAAAGUUUCGGCGGUUGGGGAUGGACUCGCGGCUUAUCAGCUUGCUGGUGGGGUAGUGGCUUACCAAGGCUUUGACGGGUAGCCGGCCUGAGAGGGUGACCGGCCACAUUGGGACUGAGAUACGGCCCAGACUCCUACGGGAGGCAGCAGUGGGGAAUAUUGCACAAUGGGCGGAAGCCUGAUGCAGCAACGCCGCGUGCGGGAUGACGGCCUUCGGGUUGUAAACCGCUUUCGCCUGUGACGAAGCGUGAGUGACGGUAAUGGGUAAAGAGGCACCGGCUAACUACGUG